rnacentral:rRNA from 1 species
GCACAAGCGGUGAGCAUGUGGUUUAAUUCGAAGCAACGCGAAGAACCUUACCAGGUCUUGACAUCCCGAUGCUAUUUCUAGAGAUAGAAAGUUACUUCGGUACAUCAGUGACAGGUGGUGCAUGGUUGUCGUCAGCUCGUGUCGUGAGAUGUUGGGUUAAGUCCCGCAACGAGCGCAACCCCUAUUGUUAGUUGCCAUCAUUCAGUUGGGCACUCUAGCGAGACUGCCGGUAAUAAACCGGAGGAAGGUGGGAUGACGUCAAAUCAUCAUGCCCCUUAUGACCUGGGCUACACACGUGCUACAAUGGUUGGUACAACGAGUUGCGAGUCGGUGACGGCGAGCUAAUCUCUUAAAGCCAAUCUCAGUUCGGAUUGUAGGCUGCAACUCGCCUACAUGAAGUCGGAAUCGCUAGUAAUCGCGGAUCAGCACGCCGCGGUGAAUACGUUCCCGGGCCUU